rnacentral:rRNA from 1 species
AUUGAACGCUGGCGGCAUGCCUUACACAUGCAAGUCGAACGGCAGCACGGACUUCGGUCUGGUGGCGAGUGGCGAACGGGUGAGUAAUGUAUCGGAACGUACCUUUCAGUGGGGAUAACGUAGCGAAGUUACGCUAAUACCGCAUAUUCUGUGAGCAGGAAAGCAGGGGAUCGCAAGACCUUGCGCUGAUUGAGCGGCCGAUAUCAGAUUAGCUAGUUGGUGAGGUAAAGGCUCACCAAGGCGACGAUCUGUAGCGGGUCUGAGAGGAUGAUCCGCCACACUGGAACUGAGACACGGUCCAGACUCCUACGGGAGGCAGCAGUGGGGAAUUUUGGACAAUGGGGGCAACCCUGAUCCAGUCCAUGCCGCGUGAGUGAAGAAGGCC